rnacentral:sRNA from 17 species
UAAUGGUAAUGAAAAGAGAGCUAUGCUGUAACAUACCUCUCUGAUGUAGAGCCGUUUAAGACGGUGACCUUUUUGAUUAUUUAAAA